AUUUGAAUGAUGACUUAAAUCUUUUGUCGGAUACCCCUUCACUCUCCAAUGAGUGAGAUCUGUGUUCUGACCUGC
ensembl:snoRNA small nucleolar RNA SNORD101